GACGAACGCUGGCGGCGUGCUUAACACAUGCAAGUCGAACGGAAAGGCCCUGCUUUUGUGGGGUGCUCGAGUGGCGAACGGGUGAGUAACACGUGAGUAACCUGCCCUUGACUUUGGGAUAACUUCAGGAAACUGGGGCUAAUACCGGAUAGGAGCUCCUGCUGCAUGGUGGGGGUUGGAAAGUUUCGGCGGUUGGGGAUGGACUCGCGGCUUAUCAGCUUGUUGGUGGGGUGGUGGCUUACCAAGGCUUUGACGGGUAGCCGGCCUGAGAGGGUGACCGGCCACAUUGGGACUGAGAUACGGCCCAGACUCCUACGGGAGGCAGCAGUGGGGAAUAUUGCACAAUGGGCGGAAGCCUGAUGCAGCAACGCCGCGUGCGGGAUGACGGCCUUCGGGUUGUAAACCGCUUUCGCCUGUGACGGAGCGUGAGUGACGGUAAUGGGUAAAGAAGCACCGGCUAACUACGUG
rnacentral:rRNA from 1 species